AAAAAAAAAACACGUUAAAAUAUUACUUUAUUUUAAAAAAAUAGCUAUUUUUUUUUGUUCCUUUUUUUUUAUAUUAAAAGGAUAAGUCAAACUAUGAAAAUAUGAUUCUUAAGAGAGAAACAGAAUGCCUACAAAAAAAAAUCAAGAAUUUAGAAGAUGUUUAUAUCGAAAAAGAAAAUAAAAUUAUGGAAAUAUUAGAAGAGAAAGAAGAUCUUAAAGAUCAUAUAUUCGAAAUAGAAAACGAAAAUUCCAAACUAAGGGAUAAUAUUGCCAAGCUUAAUGAAAGAAUAUUAGAUUUAACAGAUGUGUGUAAACAUACAGACAUAUGAUUAAAACUAGAAACAAAGAAUUACAACAAAGUGAUAUCUUAAUUAUAGAGAAUAAGAACUUAAGAAAUAUUAUUGAAGUACUGCUCCGUAAUCUUAUAUCUUUAAUGUGUAUAUAUUUGUAUAUUCGUAUAUUUGUUUGUAUGUAUGUGCACAUGUAUACAUGUACGUACGAACGUCCGAUGUGAUACAGUUUGCAUGAACUAUAUUUUGUAUCUUCAUUUUGACUUUUUUUUUUUUUUUUUUUUUUCUGUAAGGAUAUGAAGAACCAUAAAUUAUUAUUAGAAUCGAAGAUCACAAAAAAAAAUAAAAUAAUUGAUGUGAUUAAGGAAAAAUACCA
rnacentral:lncRNA from 1 species